UAGCUAGUAGUAAAACAAAUGGAGUAAUAUAUGAGAGCAGAUCUUUUAUUCCUAAUUUUUUUGUCUUUUUGUGUUUAUUCUAUUUAAAUUUUGAUAUCAAGUCUCUUAUUUAAUAUCAAUUAAUUCUAAAAUUAAAUAAAAAAGACAUAUAUCAAAAUUUAAAUAAAAAAACAGAAAAAUUAGAGACAGAAAAUCUGCUCAUAUAUAGGAGCCAC
rnacentral:lncRNA from 1 species